rnacentral:rRNA from 1 species
GAUGAACGCUAGCUACAGGCUUAACACAUGCAAGUCGAGGGGCAGCAUGGUCUUAGCUUGCUAAGGCCGAUGGCGACCGGCGCACGGGUGAGUAACGCGUAUCCAACCUGCCUUACACUCUUGGACAGCCUUCUGAAAGGGAGAUUAAUACAAGAUGUUAUCAUGAGUAAGCAUUUUCGCAUGAUUAAAGGUUUACCGGUGUAAGAUGGGGAUGCGUUCCAUUAGAUAGUAGGCGGGGUAACGGCCCACCUAGUCUUCGAUGGAUAGGGGUUCUGAGAGGAAGGUCCCCCACAUUGGAACUGAGACACGGUCCAAACUCCUACGGGAGGCAGCAGUGAGGAAUAUUGGUCAAUGGACGAGAGUCUGAACCAGCCAAGUAGCGUGAAGGAUGAAGGUUCUAUGGAUCGUAAACUUCUUUUAUACGGGAAUAAACGGAUCCACGUGUGGAUUUUUGCAUGUACCGUAUGAAUAAGGAUCGGCUAACUCCGUGCCAGCAGCCGCGGUAAUACGGAGGAUCCGAGCGUUAUCCGGAUUUAUUGGGUUUAAAGGGAGCGUAGAUGGGUUGUUAAGUCAGUUGUGAAAGUUUGCGGCUCAACCGUAAAAUUGCAAUUGAUACUGGCAGUCUUGAGUACAGUUGAGGUAGGCGGAAUUCGUGGUGUAGCGGUGAAAUGCUUAGAUAUCACGAAGAACUCCGAUUGCGAAGGCAGCUUACUAACCUGUAACUGACAUUGAUGCUCGAAAGUGUGGGUAUCAAACAGG